CACACACAGAACUUAUCUAUAUAAGGCCAACACAAAGAAAGCAUGCUGGCUUCUUUGUCUUCCUGAUGUUCCCUCUCACACGCUAUGCACUCAUAGACCGGGUUUCUGGAGGGUGACUGGAUCUUGGAACCCUGACACUCAUCAGUGGACUAGACCACUGCGGAUUUACAGCUAAAGGUGACCUCGGGAGGUGAGGCCUGUCCAAAAGAGGCAGGUCUGAGCGGCGUGGCCCAGAAGGAUGUACCUCUUCACCACUCUCCCUUCAGUCUCGGGGUCCUUGUCCCCUGCGCCCUGGCACAGUGAUGCAUACCUGUAAUCCUAGCACUUGAGAGACUGAAGCAGGAGGAUCGCUGCUAGUUUGAAGCCUGCCUGGACUACAUAGCAACACUCUGUCUCAAAAACAAACAAAUGAACAAAAAAGUUCGACAAAU